CGAUCUUGACUCUUCCAUCAAAUAUAUUCUUUAAAUACUCUAGUCUAUGGAACAAGAUUUUCCAUCAAUAGUUUGAUUUAUAAAGCAUUAGUCUAUGAUCAUACUCUUCCAUUAAUAAAGUAUGAUUUGAGUUCAAGUCCUCAGUGGUAUUCUCUUAAGAUUGCCCCAAAUUCAGGUGGGAUGAUUUCUUCUUGAUUGAGAUUUUUUAAUUUGAGAGGUAGAUAAGUCCAUAUAUACAA
rnacentral:lncRNA from 1 species